AGGUUGAAUUUAUGAGUUUUGAAAACUUUUAUUGGAUUAUUAAUCCUUAACUUU
rnacentral:tRNA from 1 species